rnacentral:rRNA from 7 species
CGGGUGCGAUCAUACCAGCACUAA